rnacentral:rRNA from 1 species
ACGAACGCUGGCGGCGUGCCUAAUACAUGCAAGUAGAACGCACAGUUUAUACCGUAGCUUGCUACACCAUAACCUGUGAGUUGCGAACGGGUGAGUAACGCGUAGGUAACCUGCCUGGUAGCGGGGGAUAACUAUUGGAAACGAUAGCUAAUACCGCAUAAUAUUAAUUAUUGCAUGAUAAUUGAUUGAAAGAUGCAAUUGCAUCACUACCAGAUGGACCUGCGUUGUAUUAGCUAGUAGGUGAGGUAACGGCUCACCUAGGCGACGAUACAUAGCCGACCUGAGAGGGUGAUCGGCCACACUGGGACUGAGACACGGCCCAGACUCCUACGGGAGGCAGCAGUAGGGAAUCUUCGGCAAUGGACGAAAGUCUGACCGAGCAACGCCGCGUGAGUGAAGAAGGUUUUCGGAUCGUAAAGCUCUGUUGUAAGAGAAGAACGGGUGUGAGAGUGGAAAGUUCACACUGUGACGGUAUCCUACCAGAAAGGGACGGCUAACUACGUG